rnacentral:rRNA from 1 species
UACAGAGGGUGCAAGCGUUGUUCGGAAUUACUGGGCGUAAAGCGCACGUAGGCGGAUCGUUAAGUCGGGGGUGAAAUCCUGGAGCUCAACUCCAGAACUGCCUUCGAUACUGGCGAUCUUGAGUCCGGAAGAGGUGAGUGGAACUCCUAGUGUAGAGGUGGAAUUCGUAGAUAUUAGGAAGAACACCAGUGGCGAAGGCGGCUCACUGGUCCGGUACUGACGCUGAGGUGCGAAAGCGUGGGGAGCAAACAGG